rnacentral:rRNA from 1 species
CUACGGGCGGCAGCAGUGGGGAAUAUUGGACAAUGGGGGAAACCCUGAUCCAGCAAUGCCGCGUGUGUGAAGAAGGCCUGCGGGUUGUAAAGCACUUUCGGUUGGGAGGACUGCUUCUAGCACUAAUAUUGUUGGAAGUUGACGUUACCUUCAGAAGAAGCACCGGCUAACUCCGUGCCAGCAGUCGCGGUAAUACGGAGGGUGCAAGCGAUAAUCGGAAUUACUGGGCGUAAAGCGCGCGUAGGCGGCUAGAUCAGUCGGGUGUGAAAGCCCCGGGCUUAACCUGGGAACUGCAUCCGAUACUGUCUAGCUUGAGUACAGGAGAGGAGAGUGGAAUUCCACAUGUAGCGGUGAAAUGCGUAGAUAUGUGGAGGAACACCAAUGGCGAAGGCAGCUCUCUGGCCUGAUACUGACACUGAGGUGCGAAAGCGUGGGGAGCAAACAGGAUUAGAUACCCCAGUAGUC